rnacentral:rRNA from 1 species
CCUACGGGUGGCAGCAGUCGAGAAUCAUUCACAAUGGGGGAAACCCUGAUGGUGCGACGCCGCGUGGGGGAAUGAAGGUCUUCGGAUUGUAAACCCCUGUCAUGUGGGAGCAAAUUAAAAAGAUAGUACCACAAGAGGAAGAGACGGCUAACUCUGUGCCAGCAGCCGCGGUAAUACAGAGGUCUCAAGCGUUGUUCGGAAUCACAGGGCGGAAAGCGUGCGUAGGCUGUUUCGUAAGUCGUGUGUGAAAGGCGCGGGCUCAACCCGCGGACGGCACAUGUUACUGCGAGACUAGAGUAAUGGAGGGGGAACCGGAAUUCUCGGUGUAGCAGGGAAAUGCGUAGAUAUCGAGAGGAACACUCGUGGCGAAGGCGGGUUCCUGGACAUUAACUGACGCUGAGGCACGAAGGCCAGGGGAGCGAAAGGGAUUAGAUACCCCGGUAGUC